CUGAGAUCAGACACACUUGGGCCGGGUUGGGAGGAACUGGCAGGAAAAGGACUGAACCCUUAAUGUCAGGCGGUUUUGAAGCACCUGGGGCAAGCUAUGGAAAUCCCCACAGGAAGGCUCACGCAGUCUCUUAGGCGGCUGCCCUCCACCUGCCACGUUCUUUUUGAUUGACUAAAAAACGCUGAAUGAAGAACGAAGUCGCGUGGAAACCCUCGCCGCGCGCCUGCAGCGGACAGCGCAGCCCGGGAGGUUCGGCUGCCGACUUGCGCCCGGGGGCUGCGCUGCGAGCGGCCACGCAUGGCGGCUGGACCCGGGCGGCCGCAAGGGCUUGGCUGGGCCGCGGGAGGCGGGAGGUUCUUCGUCCUCCCGAGCCAUCUCCCUGAACUGACAAGCAGGACUCCCGGGUCCAGGGGGCACAGGGCCCGGGGCGGUGACCCGGCGGAUCGGGCUGCCGGAGGAGCCCACUGUAAAUGCCGCAACUGGCCCCAAACACUGCGUUCCUGGACUGCACCAGCAGCUCCUGGCGCGGCCGCAGAGUUGGUGGAUAUUUUCCAAGGGGGAAAAAAAUCUUUUAAAUGCCAUCUGUUUACUUUAAAAAUGUUGAUUACUUAAGAAAAACGAAUGGAUGUCUGGGCAAAGGUAUGGACGUCACAAUUAUUUUGAAGGCGUCCUUUUUAACUUUAAACAGACCACGCCAGGAGGAGACUGCUGACCCAGAGCGCAUUACCUAAAAUCUGGUACCCAGAGUGCACCCUUCGCCCUCGUUGGAGUUCUCUCCUCUCUGCCAAGCUUUGCUCCGUGCCAGAGGUGUGCUCCAUUGUACCUCCGCUCUGUCCCUGCAGUCAGGCAACCAAUUGGAGAAGAGUAUAAAUAGUAAUUAACCAGGGAGAGUUGUAAUUCAGAAACCUAGUUAAAACAAGUCCUCAAAAACUAGAGAAUAUGAGAGUGGGGAGACAUUUUGAAGGCAUUAAGAACAAAAAACGAUGGGGACGAAUGGUUGAGUCUGAGGAUCAGCAUCGUAAUCUGUUAGAGAACGAGGUCGUGGCUGUGUCUGUGAGUCGUUAAUGGGUUUAAUCGGUUGAUACACAGCCUGCUAGUGGCCUAACCAGUAACCCAGGGCCUGGCAGAUUUGCAUGACAUCUCGGAGUUUGAUUGCUCUUCCUUCCACUUGGCAAAAGGAGACACCAUCAGCCGGAUCAGGAGGGGUCAUGGUGAGAUGGAACCCACCGAGGUGGUGUACAGAGCUGGCGCUGCCAAUGGCCAGAGUGGCAGCCUUUCUACCUCCUUAACCCUGCAAAAAUCAAACGUGCUAGUACGCACUGUCCAUCCACACUGGAACUCCAGUUGGUUUUAGUCUGCGAUGAUGACUCUUCUGGGUUGACUUUUCCAGUUCAUUAUGCAGCCCUCUUGAAGCAGGCCUCCCAAACUUAGCAGACACCAAUGAGAACCUCACAAAGAGGCUCAUCAAGCAGGCUGGUGAAACUGGGUGUUACUUCCUGUUCCAUGGGUACCCCAUAGUGUUUGGGAAACACCGGGCUGUGGUUCAGGAGAAUUUCACAUAUGCUAAGAUGGAGAAAGAACCUGCCCUUUACAUUUAGGCUUGGGAUGUUAAUUUAAAGUUUGAAUGACCAAAAAUUAAAUCUGUAACUUUU
rnacentral:lncRNA from 1 species